UCACUUCAUCCAGGUCGAAGUAAUCAAGUCUCAUGGUAGACGGGAAAUCAUCAAAAGUUUGUUAAUGGUACAGAAUAGGUUAGUUACCCAUACAGACUAGUCUGUUUCUGAUUGAGGCACAUGUGUCUGCAAAAUUAGCAAACAGAUAAUUAUUAUGCAAUUUUCCAGUCGCGAUUGCAUCAGAAGCCAAUUUCGAAUGUGCGCUAAUUAUAUUGCGGUGUCUACUCUUUGGAAGACUCGAUGCUGGAACUGGUUUUUCAUCUUGGACAUUAAAGAUGGGUAUCCCUUUCACUUUUCUUCCUUUUUCUUCUCCACUCGUGCUAAUAGAAUUCUUCAUUUUCCUUGUGUUUCAAUCACCAUUUUCCGAUAUACUAGAACACUGGACAGACGUCAAAUUUAGCACGAACGAUCCGGUAAGCACUGCCUGCUUCUAUGAAAAGCAUUAGUGAACAAAGUGUUUUCUCUUUUGCUGCGUCAUAUUGUUAGUGCAUUUGUUCUGAUAACUAUGAAUUGUUGAAGCAUCACUAAGUAUUGUUACCAACUUUUCAGUUAAAUUUAUUAUUAAUAAAUAUUGCUGAU